UUUAGACAAUUUUCAAUGACCACCUAAAAAAAAUUAUUCCAGUUUAAGUGUACGCUAUAUUUAGAAGAUUUU